ACCUAAACUACUGAGUUGGACUCUGAAAGCGUAACUCUUGCCAAAAUGCAACCUAGGGUUUUUUUGUGAAUAUACCCCAGUCAAACCUUCGUUUAAAAGCAUAAUUAGGAUGGAAACGCCACUUUUAAGAUUUACCGUAUUCUCAUUUUCGGUCAAAUGGCCUUUUGAAUGGGAGUGCUAGGGGCACUACUAUGAGAGCAU